AACAAUAAAACAUCGAGUAUUUUGUCAAGCAUGAAACAUUAGGAAGUAACAAUACACAACUUAAAACAUUAGAAGAGUUGAAAAGCUUCGGAUCAACGUUUCCCAUUUUGACAGCCUCUCUACAUCCAUCAAUCAAAGAGU